rnacentral:rRNA from 1 species
AUUGAACGCUGGCGGCAUGCCUUACACAUGCAAGUCGAACGGCAGCACGGGAGCUUGCUCCUGGUGGCGAGUGGCGAACGGGUGAGUAAUACAUCGGAACGUACCCUGAAGUGGGGGAUAACGUAGCGAAAGUUACGCUAAUACCGCAUAUUCUGUGAGCAGGAAAGAGGGGGAUCGCAAGACCUCUUGCUUUAGGAGCGGCCGAUGUCGGAUUAGCUAGUUGGUGAGGUAAAGGCUCACCAAGGCGACGAUCCGUAGCGGGUCUGAGAGGAUGAUCCGCCACACUGGGACUGAGACACGGCCCAGACUCCUACGGGAGGCAGCAGUGGGGAAUUUUGGACAAUGGGCGCAAGCCUGAUCCAGCCAUGCCGCGUGAGUGAAGAAGGCCUUCGGGUUGUAAAGCUCUUCGUGGGAGAAU